rnacentral:rRNA from 1 species
UAACGUAGCGAAAGCUACGCUAAUACCGCAUACGAUCUAUGGAUGAAAGCGGGGGAUCGCAAGACCUCGCGCGAUUGGAGCGGCCGAUAUCAGAUUAGGUAGUUGGUGGGGUAAAAGCCCACCAAGCCGACGAUCUGUAGCUGGUCUGAGAGGACGACCAGCCACACUGGGACUGAGACACGGCCCAGACUCCUACGGGAGGCAGCAGUGGGGAAUUUUGGACAAUGGGCGCAAGCCUGAUCCAGCAAUGCCGCGUGCAGGAUGAAGGCCUUCGGGUUGUAAACUGCUUUUGUACGGAACGAAACGGCGAGCUCUAAUACAGUUUGCUAAUGACGGUACCGUAAGAAUAAGCACCGGCUAACUACGUG